rnacentral:tRNA from 1 species
GCGCGAGUGGCGAAAUGGCAGACGCGCUGGCUUCAGGUGUCAGUGUCCGCAAGGACGUGCGGGUUCAAGUCCCGCCUCGCGCA